rnacentral:lncRNA from 1 species
GGUCGUUACACCGUUACCUGUUAAAUUAUCCUGGGCUAUUUCGGGCAGUUGGUUCUCCAGUCCUUCCAAAACUGGAUCCACCUGAAAUAUUAAUGGUAACAGCACAAUUAUUACAGCUUCCAUAUCAAGUACGAAUCCUUAAAUGAGUUGUCACAAAGUAAGGCGAAGAGCAUAAACGGGAUUGUUCGAUGGCGAGGUUAACGACCAGAAGAUCCACACCAGGGUUAUAAAAGCAAAAUAUGCCGUAACCAUUGGCGAGUAUCCAGGAGUAGUCGCCGAGUCUUUCUACACCUUGGUCGUGAGUCCAGAGGAGGUAAUAAUUUGAAGCGCAACUCCCGUUGAUCAUAUUAUCGUCAAAUAAGUCAAGAACGCGUUGUUACAUAGGAGCAGCGAGAGCGCGUGUGACAUCAGCGAAGCACAAAAAUUUGCAUUUAAUCUUGGCAAAGUUCUCUCGCCUCGCGUAACCGAGAGUAAAAGUCUGUACAGUAGCGAUUAAUCGAGAGAGAAAAAUGAAUUAAGAAAAAACAAAAAAACAACAUCAAAGGAUCACGAUCCGUGCGCGAUUGAGAUAUAUUCGCUUACGUUUGUUUAUAUUCUUGCAUAUGUACAUGGUUCUAUUCACGUGACGCAUUGCCUCUCACGGACCUUCGAUUCAAAUGCAUAUGUGCGUAAAUCUCAUGGCCACGAAGGUUUACUACGAAUUUAUGCAAUUAUCAUUUGACGUAACUCCGCUUCCGUGUGUGUUAAUAUUGACUCUGCAUCGAUAUUCUGAUACGUUUUUUUUAAAAAACGAUUGAAAGGAUCGAACCGUAAGGAGGAAAUAAGACCGUUAUUUCGGAGUACCGGAAAAAACGUUGAAAAAUCAGCAUACCUCGGGAUCGAUCUACCUUCACCGAUCGCGGUAUCGUUGACAGCCAUGACCGAGAUGUGACCCCCGCUGGUAACAAAACCGGUGCGCACUCUCCGAAAAAAAAUCUCCCCGAGAGGAUGAAUUUUUCUUCCCGAGCGAUAAUCCAACCGGAAAGGGAUUUUAAAAUACUUCACAACGAGACGUCGUCGCACUCGAGACAAAUCGGCAAAUGCAAUCACUCGGGGACCAACGUGGACCGGGAUGCUGGCAAAGAAAAAAUCGACGCUCCGUUUCACCCCCCGAAGAGAUGUCGGGGGAGAGCAGACCGGAGAGCGAUACUGGAGCGUUUUUCAGCGCACGCACACUCGAGGAUUCGACGAGACUGUGGAUUCUGAGGUCCGGUCUCCGCGUCACCCGGUACCGCGGCAGUUGAGACCGAGAGCGAGAGCGAGAGAGAGAGAGAGAGAGAGAAAGACCGGACCGCUCGCGAGACGCCCCUUCCUCCAUCCGAAGAGCGUAUUCCCCCUCUUUUGCACCCUUGCCUAACGACAGCGAGAAUAUUCGAUAUAUACAUGUAUACCUACAACAGACCAGGAGAGAAAAGUUUGUCGGAUGCUGCAUCGAGAGAGCGUGCAAAAGAUUAAGAGACUCGCUCUGUAGGGGUCAGCUUGAGCUCGUCAAGCUCCGUAUACAAAAAAUAUCUUGAAACCAGCCAAAUUUGGAGCAAAAAAAUUACUCCAAAUUCGGGUGGCUUACUUUCCGAUGAAUCUGGACCGUUGGUCAAACGCGAUGUACCAUUAAUACUAUUAUAGGAAAAGGGAUAAAAUCCCAUGGCAAAAAAUAUGACGAGAGAAAAUUUAAGGGCCGGGGACAUAUCCGCACUGCUUUGUGUUUUAUUCAUGCAUGGCUUUUUGGCUCAAGGCCCCAAAAACGUCGAUCCACAAUGGGAGAAGGUCAGGUAGUAGAGAGACUGAAAAAGGAGCAACGAAAAAUAAAAAGAAUGAGAAUUCUUGGGACGGCUCUUCUACCUACAGUCUCAGACCUUCGCUGGUGGGGGGUCGACCUAUAGUCGGAACAUGACCUUAGGGCCACUUCUCCCAGUUUUUCUCAACUUCCGUUGUGACGCAGAAUAAAAUGACAGUGGUAAAAUAACAGGGACGAAGGAAGCAGUCCCCUGAAUCUACCCGCAUCUUCUGGAUAUACGUUUCCGCGCGUGAAUUAUUCCUCUGAUAUUCAACGUUCAAUAAUAGCUCGAGAGAACAGAAAGUGCGAGCUAGGAGUGUUUCUUAUCGAGUUUUUGCCAAAAAUGAUGGAUGUUCGAAUAAUCCGAUCGGAAGGCGCACUUUGGGGCGGAGUAAAAAUACAUAUAGAUCCACUUGUUCCUAUUGAACAGCACACAGUCCGAUUGGAAAUUGAAUCAACUCAUUUACAAUCGUGUUGGCGAACCUUGAAAAAAAGUAAUAAGAUGAAAUAUUAUGAAUUAACGAUAUUUAGAGAAAAAAAAAGAGGAGCAGAAAUGAUUCUUAGAUCGAAAGUCAUUGAGCGAAGUAUGAAUAAACAAGAUCGUUAUUAUUCUGUUAAAUCGAUUAUCGACUUUUCCGGUUAAUAGCCGUUGAAUGAAUGAAAAACAGACGGAUACCUGCAUUUCCUUUUUUGAUCCAAGAUUCUCGUCGGAACGAGUCUGAAAAGUAGAUUUUCUCAAUGAACUCAUACAAGAUAUACAAAAGGAAUUUGUCGUGGGUGGACUCGUUCCUCUCGUCUUCGCGGAGAUCUGGGUCCAUGGCAGGCUCUCAAUUUUACAUCCGAUUUACCAAAGAU